rnacentral:rRNA from 1 species
CCUACGGGAGGCUGCAGUGAGGAAUAUUGGUCAAUGGGCGCGAGCCUGAACCAGCCAAGUAGCGUGAAGGAUGACUGCCCUACGGGUUGUAAACUUCUUUUAUAAAGGAAUAAAGUGAGGCACGUGUGCCUUUUUGUAUGUACUUUAUGAAUAAGGAUCGGCUAACUCCGUGCCAGCAGCCGCGGUAAUACGGAGGAUGCGAGCGUUAUCCGGAUUUAUUGGGUUUAAAGGGUGCGUAGGCGGAAGGUUAAGUCAGCGGUAAAAUGUCGGUGCUCAACACCGGACUGCAGUUGAUACUGGGAGUCUUGAGUGAGCGAGAGGUAUGCGGAAUGCGUGGUGUAGCGGUGAAAUGCAUAGAUAUCACGAAGAACUCCGAUUGCGAAGGCAGCAUACUGGCGCUCAACUGACGCUGAGGCACGAAAGCGUGGGGAUCGAACAGGAUUAGAUACCCGGGUAGUC